rnacentral:lncRNA from 1 species
UGAUUGUUGUUUUUUGAUCUGCUAUGCAUUGUUCUGUAACUGUGAUGUUUGGGUAUUUGCUUGUGAAUUUGUCAUAGAGUUCCCUUCCAUACCCUGUAGUGUCCGUUUCUAAUUUUGUAAUUGUGUAAUAUGUACGUAUGAUGAAUUCAUAUCUGUUGUCCAUUUCAUGCGUUGGCGUGGUUUUCCAGUCUUGGUGGUCUCUGGCUGUGUUGCCUGGGAAACAGUUUGGUUGAUUGGGCUCCGAUGUGGUGACCUAAGUAUGUGUAUUGCAAUAGCCAGAUUUGGGUUAGUGUUGCUUUUGCCACCAGUGGCCAAGAGAGACUGUAGUAAACUUUCCGAAUGUGAGCCGCUUCCUAACUCACAGAUGCAGACCUUGUUAACCCGGGUGCCGUCCAAGCCAGUAUGCUUACAUUUUCUGCUUUGUACCAUUGCAUACUAAUUGUACACCACUGAAGUGGGGAUACCUGCUAGCAUUUAGUUGAGCAUAAUGGAAUAGCCUUCACAC